rnacentral:rRNA from 1 species
UACGAAGGGGGCUAGCGUUGCUCGGAAUCACUGGGCGUAAAGGGCGCGUAGGCGGCGUUUUAAGUCGGGGGUGAAAGCCUGUGGCUCAACCACAGAAUGGCCUCGAUACUGGGACGCUUGAGUAUGGUAGAGGUUGGUGGAACUGCGAGUGUAGAGGUGAAAUUCGUAGAUAUUCGCAAGAACACCGGUGGCGAAGGCGGCCAACUGGACCAUUACUGGACACUGAGGCGCGACAGCGUGGGGAGCAAACAGGG